ensembl:lncRNA
CUUGAUGGGGAGGGAAGGGAUAGGUAUGCAAAACAGGGGCGGGUCGCCCUGCAGUUACCGGGCCGCGAGGGGUUACUCUCAGUCCCCACCCGCCAGGGGACAGAGGGACGUGUUUCAGAGCUGGGUGGGCUGCGCUGACACUAAGGGCUUGUCUGCCUGGCGCCCACGCUCGCUGGGAAUCGCCGGCGUGGCUGGGCGCCCCGGGGCUGCCACUUACGCCAGUGCCUGUGGCUCUGGGCUCCCAGCCCCCCUUCCCUGCCUGCGUCCCUGGGGGCAGCUCUGACAGUACCCCAAAGGGCAAGGGCCUCCGGGUGGUGACCUUUGGGGCAGGGCAGGGCAUGAGAGGCCAGAGGGACCGGAGCCCCUGGACUUUGCUAGGCCUGGUAAACAGCUGCCGAGAGGUAAAAACUCUGACGUCUGCGCCAGCACCCUCCUCCCCUCCCAGAGAGUGUGUGUGUUUGCGGGGGGAGGGGGUUGUGCACAGCCAACCGGGUCACUCGAGGGUGGAGAGUGGUGGACAGGCCGGGACUCGUUGCUGCCUGGGGCUCCCUGGAGCAGACAUCCCCCUGAAACCAGGAAUUCUCAGCCCACCCUUGAGCCAGGCUCCCAGAUCAGCCUGGCCCCUUUCCAAUCCUGGCCCCCAGCUUCAGUGAGCGCAGAACGGAAGUGCCCUGGAAGUCCUGGGUCCAGAAGUUGGCAGCAAAGCAUUACUUUGGCAAGGAGCACAUCUGGGCUGGUGUUCCGUGGGUCCAGAGAGGUGAGCUGUGUUCACAGCCAGGAGGUCACCGUGUCCCUGACCCAGCAUCCCAAUUUCCCUUUGAGGAGCCACUCUCUCCCCUUUCUCAAGCGACCUCGCCCUUCCGCUCCAGAGGGAGACCGGUCAGUCAGACCUGGCCAGCCAGCGUACUCCAUCCCGGCCGCCAUGGUGGUCCAAGCUGUCCAUGAGAGCCAGCCCUGGGGCUUGGGCAGGGACUGCUGAGAAGAGAAUUCCUCUAUUUGCCGCGCUUGUUGAGCUGGUCAGGUGUCAACUCGGAGCUGCUGGCGGCCAACUUGCCUGCCAACAGAGGGAAAACAGAGCCUAAAGAUGAUUUUCAAAGUGGCAUUUCAAAUUAGUGAGGACAGAAUGAGUUAUUCACUAAAAGGGACAAUUGGCUACACGUUUAGGGGAAAAUUAAGUCAGAUCUCUUCCUCAUAUCACAAACAGAAAUAGAUUCCAGUCGGAUGAAAGAAAAAAGGAUUAAAAUGUGAAGGUAGUGGAAGAAAAUGCAGGUUACUACUUAUUCAUAAAUUUGGGAAUGGGCAAAAUCUUCCUUAGCAUGACAUGAAAUCCAGAAGCCACAAAAAAACUAUUUGCAGAUUGGCUGCGUAAAAAUAGAAAACCAGGGGCCGGCCCUGUGGCAUGUUGUGGUUAAGUUCACAUGCUCCGCUUCGGUGGCUCGGGGUUUGUGGGUUCAGAUCCCGGGCACAGACCUAUGCACCGGUCAUCUAGCCACGCUCUGGUGGCAUCUCACAUACAAAAUAGGGGAAGAUUGGCAUAGAUGUUAGCUCGGUGACAAUCUUCCUCAAGCAAAAAGAGGAAGAUUGGCAACAGAUGUUAACUCAGGGCCAAUCUUCCUCACCAAAAAAAGAAAAAAAAAAAGAAAGAAGGAAAGAAAAAAAAGAGAAAAUCAUAUAGCCAAAGAUACCAUAGGAAAAACCUGCAUAACCAAAGAUACUGUAGAAAGGCUGACGACAACUGGGAGAAGGUGUUUGCAACAUUGCAAUGGACAGAUGUAAAUACCCCUAGUUACAAAGAGGUCUGACAAUCAAUAGGACAAAAAGAAAAGCCACUUAAACCCAAAUUGUGCAAAGGACAUGAAAGGAAGAAUGGUCAGCCAGACCAUUGUUCACCCUUUGAAGCACUGCUCAAAAGGCCACCUCAGGGACGGGAUUGGAAAUGAUGUCAGGCACGGACUGUUGAAGGAGUGGAGAACAUCAAGCCUAGAAGGAAACAGAUCAGAGCAGCACUGCCCAGUGAAACAUCAUGCCAGCCACAUACGCAAUUUUACAUUUUCUAAUAGCCACUUAAAAAAACAAAGCAAAAAGAAACGGAUGAAAUUGAUUUUCCUAAUUUUUUUUUGAGGAAGAUUAGCCCUGAGCUAACAUCCGCUGCCAAUCCCCCUCUUUUUGCUGAGGAAGACUGGCCCUGAGCUAAUAUCCAUGCCCAUCUUCCUCCACUUUAUAUGUGGGACAGCUGCCACAGCAUGGCUUGCCAAGUGAUGCCAUGUCCGCACCUGGGAUCGGAACCAGCGAACCCUGGACUGCCAAAGUGGAACGUGGCAAACUUAACCGCUGCGCCACCGGGCCGGCCCCUUCAUAAUAUUUUUUAUUUAACCGAUAUAGUGUCAUUUCAACAUUAAUCAAUGUAAAAUUAUUUAUUGGCUUUUGGGGCUACGUCUUGGAAAUCUGGUGUGUAUUUUUCGACACACCUCAAUUCGGGCCAGCCAUGUUUCGAGUGCUCGACAGUCGUAAAUGGUUGCUGGCUCCCAUAUGGGGCAGAACAGUGUUAGAAGAUGAGAGAAUGGACCACAGACCUGGGGCCGUGUCCUGGCUUUCUCAUUGGCUAGCCAUGUGACCUUUUGGAUUUUCCAUGUCUUCAUUUGAAAAACGGCACCAGAGGGCCGUGUGGGUUUUAAAUGGAAUCCACAUACGGCAUUCAGCUCACCAGCUGCCACAGAGUUGAGAGCAGACCAGCUGUUUAUUUGCAGUUACUAAUUAUUACCCAAAUAGCUGGUAAGUCCGUAAGCACAGUGGACAAGACAAAGACCAACAUGUAAAAACGGCGGGGCGUUAGAUUUUAAUUCAGCAUAAGAAAAAUCUCACUUUCCAAUGCUGUGGCUGCCGGCCCCACGUGGCUGUGAAGCGCCAGUGUCAAUAGUCGGACAGAGAAAUGCUGAAGUGUAAAAUCCACAUCGGAUUUCCAAGCUUCGUGCAAAAGAUAGAAUAUAAAACAUCUCGCUAAGUGUUUUCAUGUUGAUUGCAUGCUGAAAUGAUCACAUUUUGGAUACAUCAGGUUAAAGAAAAUAUACUAUUAAAAUUCAUUUCGCUUGUUUCUUUCUACUUUUUAAAAAAACAUGAAUGUAUUCACAUUAUAUUUCUGUUGGAGAGCACUGAUGUAGAACUCUGCAGGAAUGGGAUAGACUACUUUGUGGAGUAGUGAGUUCCCCAUUCUGGGAGUGAUUCAAGCUGAGGAUGGAUGACUGGGAAGUAGGGAUGGUGCACGAUGACUUCAGAGUUGGGGAUUUGUGGGUUUCUUCAGUCCGGGUCUCCUAGCCAUGCACGGGCUUCUGGGGCCACAGCUCAGCGCGUGGCUGGAAGGCAGCUGACCGUCUGCCUGGAAGUGGCCUAAAAAGCGGUGCUCACUCCCCGACAGCAGCACUCAGCUCUUCCAAACAGGAGUCCAGCAUGACUGGACUGUUGGCUCAGGCGGCAGCUACUGGCCA